UUUUAAAAUUUGUAAAAUUAAUUAUUUUAAAUUACAUUUAAUAUUUACUUUCUAAGUUCUAGUAAUUUAUUAAUUCGGAAUGUUGUUAGUCUGACUAGUUGACUGCAACCCCAAAUAUUUUAUCGAGUAAUAAA